CAACAGGGAUUGCCCCAGUAACGGCGAGUGAAGCGGCAACAGCUCAAAUUUGAAAUCUGGCUCUCGGGCCCGAGUUGUAAUUUGUAGAGGAUGCUUUUGGUGCGGUGCCUUCCGAGUUCCCUGGAACGGGACGCCAUAGAGGGUGAGAGCCCCGUCUGGUUGGAUGCCAAUCCUCUGUAAAGCUCCUUCGACGAGUCGAGUAGUUUGGGAAUGCUGCUCUAAAUGGGAGGUAUAUGUCUUCUAAAGCUAAAUACCGGCCAGAGACCGAUAGCGCACAAGUAGAGUGAUCGAAAGAUGAAAAGAACUUUGAAAAGAGAGUUAAAAAGUACGUGAAAUUGUUGAAAGGGAAGCGCUUGUGACCAGACUUGGGCUUGGUUGAUCAUCCAGGGUUCUCCCUGGUGCACUCUACCGGCUCAGGCCAGCAUCAGUUUGCCCCGGGGGACAAAGGCGUCGGGAAUGUGGCUCUCUCCGGGGAGUGUUAUAGCCCAGCGCGUAAUACCCUGAGGCGGACUGAGGUUCGCGCAUUCGCAAGGAU
rnacentral:rRNA from 1 species